GAUAAGGGACAUCAGCUUGUGCCAAUCGAACAAGGUGAUACACCCAGCCCAGGUGGGGUUGGUCGAGGCCCAACAAAUUAGGGUUGCCCGGAGCCCAACAGUUCAUUAAGCACACCCAACACAGGGAAAGGCCCAAUCGCCCCAAAAGACUAGUCCAAUGGGGGAAGGGUGGCUCUCCCUUUUAAAGUGGCUUCCUCCUCCCAAGUUAAGCGAGGUGGGAUAUCUGAGGCUCACACGGUCGCCGUCCGACUACAAUUGGGCCAACUGGGCCAAUUGCGUCUUUGCCAACGGGUAAUAGUGGAGGAUGUCCUCAUCAUUCCCACCUUCUUAAAAUGGGCCCCAGCUCUGAUAUCAUAUGAUACACCCAGCCCAGGUGGGGUUGGCCGAGGCCCAACAAAUUAGGGUUGCUCGGAGCCCAACAGUUCAUUAAGCACACCCUACUCAGGGAAAGACCCAAUCGCCCCAAAAGACUAGUCCAAUGGGGGAAGGAUGGCUCUCCCUUUUAAAGUGGCUUCCUCCUCCCAAGUUAAGCGAGGUGGGAUAAUUCUGAGGCUCACACGGUCGCCGUCCGACUACAAUUGGGCCAACUGGGCCAAUUGCGUCUUUGCCAAUGGGUAAUAGUGGAGGAUGUCCUCAUCAUUCCCACCUUCUUAAAAUGGGCUCUAGCUCUGAUACUAGAUGAUACACCCAGCCCAGGUGGGCUUGGCCGAGGCCCAACAAAUUAGGGUUGCCCGGAGCCCAAUAGUUCAUUAAGCACACCCUACUCAAGGAAAGACCCAAUCGCCCCAAAAUACUAGUCCAAUGGAGGAAGGGUGGCUCUCCCUUUUAAAGUGGCUUCUUCCUCCCAAGUUAAGCGAGGUGGGAUAAUUCUGAGGCUCACACGGUCACCGUCUGACUACAAUUGGGCCAACUGGGCCAAUUGCGUCUUUGCCAACGGGUAAUAGUGGAGGAUGUCCUCAUCAUUCCCACCUUCUUAAAAUGGGCCCUAGCUCUGAUACCAGAUGAUACACCCAGCCCAGGUGGGGUUGGCCGAGGCCCAACAAAUUAGGGUUGCCCGGAGCCCAACAGUUCAUUAAGCACACCCAACUCAGGAAAGGCCCAAUCGCCCCAAAAGACUAGUCCAAUGGGGGAAGGGUGGCUCUCCCUUUUAAAGUGGCUUCCUCCUCCCAAGUUAAGCGAGGUGGGAUAAUUCUGAGGCUCACACGGUCGCCGUCCGACUACAAUUGGGCCAACUGGGCCAAUUGCGUCUUUGCCAACGGGUAAUAGUGGAGGAUGUCCUCAUCA
rnacentral:lncRNA from 1 species